UACGUAGGGGGCGAGCGUUGUCCGGAAUCAUUGGGCGUAAAGCGCGUGUAGGCGGCUUGAUAAGUCUGGUGUGAAAUCUUGGGGCUCAACCCCAAGCCUGCACUGGAUACUAUCUAGCUUGAGGAGUGGAGGGGGGACUGGAAUUCUCGGUGUAGCAGUGAAAUGCGUAGAUAUCGAGAGGAACACCAGUGGCGAAGGCGAGUCCCUGGACACUUCCUGACACUGAGGCACGAAAGCUAGGGGAGCAAACAGG
rnacentral:rRNA from 1 species